rnacentral:rRNA from 1 species
GACGAACGCUGGCGGCGUGCUUAACACAUGCAAGUCGAACGGAAAGGCCCUGCUUUUGUGGGGUGCUCGAGUGGCGAACGGGUGAGUAACACGUGAGUAACCUGCCCUUGACUUUGGGAUAACUUCAGGAAACUGGGGCUAAUACCGGAUAGGAGCUCCUGCUGCAUGGUGGGGGUUGGAAAGUUUCGGCGGUUGGGGAUGGACUCGCGGCUUAUCAGCUUGUUGGUGGGGUAGUGGCUUACCAAGGCUUUGACGGGUAGCCGGCCUGAGAGGGUGACCGGACACGAUAGGACAAAGAUGGGGUCUAGGCUACUGUGGGAGGCAGCAGAGGGGAAAAAAGCAAUAUAGAAGGAAGCCUUAAGCAGUCAAGCCUGGGGAGGGAAAGGGGACUACGGAAUGGAAAGAGAAAACGAGUGUGGCGAGGCGUGAAGUGCGGUGAGGGGAAAGGAAGCACCAGGAAACGCCGGG